rnacentral:rRNA from 1 species
UACAGAGGUCCCGAGCGUUGUUCGGAUUCAUUGGGCGUAAAGGGUGCGUAGGCGGCGGGGUAAGUUUGAUGUGAAAUCCCGGGGCUCAACCCUGGAAUUGCAUUGAAUACUACCUUGCUAGAGUACCGGAGAGGAAACUGGAAUUUACGGUGUAGCAGUGAAAUGCGUAGAGAUCGUAAGGAAGACCAGUGGCGAAGGCGGCCAACUGGACAGAUACUGACGCUGAGACACGAAAGUGCGGGGAGCAAACAGG